AUGCUGGGCUAAGACAAGGGGCAGGGGCAGAGGCAGAGAGAGAGAGGAGCCACCCUGAGAAGGAAGAGACCAGCUGGGCUCUAAGAUAGGGAGACUCUUUCUACAUUGGUGCCUUGACAUGUGACUCUUUUGUCACUUCGUGCUCCAGAAUCACCCCCUGAUGAACUGCUAUCACUUUCAAAUGACCUUGUCUUUUCUCAGGCCCUCCGAACUGAUCAUCUCUUCCUUCUAAUACAAGAGGAUCUUCCCUGGAAGACCACUGCACACCUUCUAGUAACACUGGGACCCUGGGUUCCUAUGAAAAGUUUUCUGUCACCUGAUCCCAAAUGCUGAAUGAGAAACACCAGCUCUUGGACUCAAACCACUCAGAUCAGGAAAGAAUCACCUUCAGUCUUCAGGAAGAAGUGAAUAAGGCCCAUGGGGCACAUUGAGUAACUGCUUCCUGAUCAUGUGCAGAAGACCUGUGCAGCCGAAGGGGUGGAUGCUGGCAGCCUUAGAUUCCAGUGCUCACAUCUCCCUUCACAAAAACCUGCUUCAAGGACCAUAGAUCUCCAUCCUCCCACCCAAGGUCUGCCUUUGAGCUGCACUCAUUCCUGUUUAGCUUUUAUUGUCAAGAACGUAGAAUUAAAAUAGGAAGAACACCUUUUCUUCAGCUCGAGAUUUCCUGAAGGAGGAUCUGCAUUUCACGUGGAUGGUCAGGAUACUAAGUUGCAUCUUUAGAAAAAUCUCAGCACAUCUCUGGGCAAUGAAAUCAUUCUUUUGGGACCUGACACAUGAACUGAAGUGUAAUUGGCAUUCUUUAUGGAAGGGGCAUGGAUUUAAAUUGUCAUGAGUUCAAAUACCAACCCCACCUAUCACUUACUAUACAGAAGAUUGGACCUGGCUGCUUCAAAGGGUCACCUGUUGUGCGGGGAAGGAAGGAUUAACAUAGAAACAGAGCUCUGAAGACUCGAUUCCCUGUCUGUCAAUGGCUCAAGCAUACAAUGAUCAGAUAAUAUUCUACUUUGAAGAACACCAAUAGACAGAAGCAAGAUGACUAAUUUUUAAUGCUAAAGUAUGCAAAACCUGCCACUUCACUGGCAAGCCAUGAAUUAUUCAUAAAUAUAGACUUGGUUAAUAUCUUUAAAAAUGCAGUAUAUUUUGCCUUGUGAUUUCUAGCUUGCAUAACAGUUUUGGAAUCAUGACAUAUGAACCAAAUUACAACAAGCCCCCAUAUUUAUUUUCUGUAGAUUAGGGAAAUACGUUUACUGACUCAGUAAGAGAUCAUCAGUAGGUACCCGAAAUAAGGAAAUUAAACUCAUCUUUUGCACAGCAGUUUUGGCAGUAUUUGUGCUAGGAACACUGAAAUAAAGAAUGUAUCAUUUUAGGGAAAUGUUUAUUAUAUGUUUUAACAGCUGAAGAAUAUUAUUCAGUGGUUUCUCACUAGCUUUGCCUAAAAAUUUUGAUUAAAUUGUGGGCCUCUCCACUGAGCAGGAGACACUAAUAUCAAAUGUGUGUGCAUAAACUAGAAUGACAAAUCCUUUAGUCUCAGAACCAUUGAGCUGGAAGGGGUAUCCCACCACCAUCUCUCCCUAUAGCUAGUUUAGACUUAAGUUUUCAAAAUGCAUUUUUUUUUUAAUUCACUGACCUACCCCAAUCUCUUGCUUCUCAAAUAAUGCUGUUCUUUAUAAGGGUUUUUUCAGAUUGAAUUUGACUUCCUCAGCUCCAGGCCACACAGAGUACUGUGUAUACUUAAUCAUAAAUUAAUACUUUUACAAGCUCUAAAGAGAUUACUAUGGAUUCCAUCUCAAAUGCCUCACAGUUACAUUAUUUUCACAUACUUAUAAUUACCCGGAAAGGUUUUUAGAUGGGAUGCACUUUUUAUGGGCCAUAAAUACUUGGUGUAAUCUACAUUUUGUUUGUCACAUUUUGUUUAUUUCUGUUGUGGAUGCAAAAUACCAGAGCAAUUUAAGAUCUUACUGAAUGAGAAACUUGAACAGAAAUAAUGAUCUGCCAUUUUUAUUCUAACUAAAUAAAAGUAUCAUUUAAAACAUGC